AGUUCAUCUGGUCGGCCACCGGAGAUGUAGUGCUGUGAAGAUUCAGCGUACAAUUCCUGCGGCGUCCAAGAACUUCAAAAGUUGUGAAACAAAACGUGAUGUCGAAACAAACAGACAACCUGGUCGCGAGGAACUCAAGAUACGGGACCUCGUGUUCUCUAUAGCCGAUCCUGCUCACGGAUGUCUCUUCAGCAUGCAAUUGACGUAAAGGCGACGACCGCCAAGUCUGGCCUCCCGGCCGGCACCUGGCUCAGCCCUGAAGCCGAGCAGUCCAGCUUGAGGACAUCCGGAGGCCCAGAACAACGGCAUGACAGCACCGCAGAACCGCAGGGGUGUUCCCCGCUGGACCUCGUCGCCCGCGGCAACAACGUCACUAACAGGAACAGGACGCUCCACGGCAACAUCACAUGGCUGGCGGAACACAAGGAGCACGCGUCGCUCACCACACACACACGCACGCACACACAACGGGCAACACCCGCUGCCGGCCGCCUGCCCGCACGGUUGGCCCUUGACGUCAUCGAUGACGUCGACAAGGAAGGGGGCGCUUCCGCUCGCAUGACAGCGUGGUUUCGGUUUCGUGCGCGCAAUCGAUGAGGGAGAGAGAGGAGUAUUUGCAUGGGCACCGGGGGGCAAGAGAGACUCUCUACUCCUUUCUGUGUUUGUGAAUUCUCGGCAGGCUUCGAGAAAUUGACAAGAGUAGUACUUCGUUCCGUGCCCUACAAAACAGACAUGUAGCGCUGCUCGUUCUUUGCUCAAUAUACUUCGAUGCUUCGAUAAAAGGAACCCAUCUUGGCGC